UUGUUUAAUUAAUUCAGCGCUUGCCAACAUUGGAAAAAUGUCUGAUCAUUGCAGACGCAGAGGACUUGGGGUCUCAAAAAGAAUAAUAAGGGAGGUGAGGAGAAAACUAUCAGGCUUCGAUUGUCAACUUGCAUUGGUUCAAACAAUGUUGCCAACGGGAUUGUUUGCCAAAAGAAUGCAUUGUGAACGACGAAGAAAGGCCUCUUCUGAGCAACAGAGCCCAUUACCUGCAUCGGAAGUUGCACCUGUCGCUAUAGCACAGCCAUGCAGAGUCCAGCUAAACAGUGACGGCAGAUGUGGAUGUGUUGCUAUUACAAAGGAUGGAAUUAUAGCCCUGUUCCUUCCAGACAAGAGCCCCACCUGUGCAAGAGCCCAACCUGGCAUCCAAGAGCUAAGCCGACCAUGUUGUGAUAGGCCUAUACAAUUAAAUACAAGACAAGGACAAGAAAUAGAAUGCAGCAACCUCUCCCCGAAGAAAACUUCAACAAAUGGAUUGUGUGGUGGUGUGAUCAACAUUCAUGUCAUCAAUAUGAAAGAAGACAGCCAUAUAUCUUCAGGAUUGAGUUCUUCGGAUGGAGUUCCUUUCCCAUGUCAUAAUGGAUCAGAACAUUGUUCAAUGUGUGAUGUAUGUUACAAUGGAGGAUUUUCCACACAGACCAAUGACAAAUGGACACAAGAACUUUUAGAUCCGCCAGUAGCCCUUGCUGGAUCAGACCAGACAGGUAAAGAAGGACAAACCAUUUUACAAAGAGUCCAAAGGUUCCUGCCUUUGUUACACGCGGUUGGAAUCCCAUUUUGCUCUCUCUUGGUUGCUGCUGACCUGUACUUUCAUUGGAAUGGAAGUUCAUGGUGCCCUGGGAGUGGCUUUUCUAGUGUACUCUUUGGUCCAGCCUGUAACUACCAUCCUCCUCCAGUAUGAAUGGAAACUGUCAAUGAUAGGAUGACAUUUUCAU